CAUUAGAUGACUGAAAGCAAGUACUGGUCUCUUAAACCAUUCUAUAGUAAUUAGCACCUACUUCUAAUGA
rnacentral:tRNA from 1 species